CACAGGAAAACACAAGGAAGAAGGGUGGAAAGACAAAGGUUGCCUCUAGAUUUUGAUUUUGAAGCCCUGAGAUGUGACCAUCAAAACUGAGAUGCCUUCUCCAGGAGGUGCUGGAUAUCAGAGUCUAGAAAGAGUCUUGGAGAAGAAGAGGAGGCCGUGUCUGUGCACGAAUGCAAAACAGUUGAUGUGAGAAUUGAUGCUUAUCCUAAUUAACUGAGUGAAAGCAAAUUCAAUUUGUCUGGCAAAUAUGUGCAUGUUGAAUUCAGUUUACUUUAUAAUGCUUUGAGUUUAACCCUGUUAAAGGACUGUGAUCCAGGGCAGAAUGCCUGGAAGUAAAUGGAGACUUCAGCAGUGAGGGGUCUGUCCCCAUCUGAGAAAAAACAGGAGGAAAUGUAGAAUAAAAGACAAGGCAAAGAAUUCCCAGCUUUGCUGUGUGGCAACCAGUUUUAAAACAGACUGAUUGUCAAGUUCAAAAAAUAGUCAAUGUUUAGAGAUCUACAGACAACAGAUCUUUAGCCCUUUCUGGCUUUGCAUGCACAGAGAUGACAUCAAACAUGAUGUGUUUGCCCUGCUGGCUGGGGGACACGACAGAGGGGUUGGCAGGCCUUGCAGAUAGCUGGUGUUUUAGCCUGAGAGCUUAAAAGAAGGUGAACUUAUUCACACAAAAAUCAACCUUGUAUUGAGUCCUGUCAUUCAUAGUUUCUCUAAAAGCUCUUUGAUUCAGAGGAAGUUUUUAUGUUGUUUUCUAAUUUGUAUCUUCUGGA